rnacentral:misc_RNA from 1 species
UCACAAUAAAAUUGCCCAGCCCAACUGCACCUCUUUUGAGAAGGUGAGACAACUUGGGAACUGGUUAGGAGAUGUUUACUUGGGAGAAGGCAAAAGAACAGACCUCGGGAAUUCUAGAGACCCAUUAUUGGGAGCGCCCUGUAUCUUGAGAAUUGAAGUAACCAAGUUGUAAAUCUGAACAUUCUCAAAAGAUGGCACCUU